rnacentral:rRNA from 1 species
UACGUAGGGUGCGAGCGUUGUCCGGAAUUAUUGGGCGUAAAGGGCUUGUAGGCGGUUUGUCGCGUCUGCUGUGAAAUUCCAGGGCUUAACCCUGGGCUUGCAGUGGGUACGGGCAGACUAGAGUGUGGUAGGGGAGACUGGAAUUCCUGGUGUAGCGGUGAAAUGCGCAGAUAUCAGGAGGAACACCGAUGGCGAAGGCAGGUCUCUGGGCCACUACUGACGCUGAGAAGCGAAAGCAUGGGGAGCGAACAGG